rnacentral:lncRNA from 1 species
UAAAAAUGUAUAAAAUUCGGUAAUGAAUAUAAUAUAAGCUAACCAUAAUGUAUUAGAGUUAUUGUACAAAAAAUAUAUGUCAGUUAUAAAAGAAAAUCAUGAGUCAGUGUUGAACUAUAGACCUCUAAUUUAGACUAUAAAACAAGAACCACUAGACCAUAUGGAUAUAUGUCAGUUACAAUGAAAAUCAUGUUUAAUGUCCACGACUUCUAAAAAGUGAAGGUCGUGCUUGUGAAGCAUGACUUCCAUAUGGGAGAGAGAGAGAGUCUCGUGCCUCUGAUGCACGAGAUUACAGGGAAGUCGCAUUCCUGGUCCACGACUUCCCCAAACUUGUGGAUUUCAUCCACAAGUUCCCUAAAAAUUACACUACUUCCGUAAAUAUUUUUAAACAUAUAUCAAACGUGUUAUAGCGUAGUUUGACUAUACUAUCCACAUAAAUUUUCCAAAGAUACUUACUCAGUCCUGG